GCAUUGGUGGUUUAGUGGUAGAAUUCUCGCCUCCCACUCAUGAGACCUUGGUCCGAUUCCCGGCCAACGCA
rnacentral:tRNA from 1 species